rnacentral:rRNA from 1 species
AGUCGAGCGAGAAAGUUUCUUCGGAAGCGAGUAAAGCGGCGGACGGGUGAGUAACGCGUAGGAAUCUACCAUUCAGUGGGGGAUAGCUCGGGGAAACCCGAAUUAAUACCGCAUAUACCCUAAGGGGGAAAGAGGGCCUAUCCUUGGAAGCUCUUGCUGUUUGAUGAGCCUGCGUGAGAUUAGUUUGUUGGUGAGGUAAUGGCUCACCAAGGCUACGAUCUCUAGCUGGUCUGAGAGGACGAUCAGCCACACUGGGACUGAGACACGGCCCAGACUCCUACGGGAGGCAGCAGUGGGGAAUAUUGGACAAUGGGGGCAACCCUGAUCCAGGCAUGCCGCGUGUGUGAAGAAGGCCUUCGGGUUGUAAAGCACUUUAGGUAAGGAAGAAAAGUUAUUGGUUAAUACCCAAUGACCAUGACAUUACUUACAGAAUAAGGACCGG